GACGAACGCUGGCGGCGUGCUUAACACAUGCAAGUCGAACGGAAAGGCCCUGCUUUUGUGGGGUGCUCGAGUGGCGAACGGGUGAGUAACACGUGAGUAACCUGCCCUUGACUUUGGGAUAACUUCAGGAAACUGGGGCUAAUACCGGAUAGGAGCUCCUGCUGCAUGGUGGGGGUUGGAAAGUUUCGGCGGUUGGGGAUGGACUCGCGGCUUAUCAGCUUGUUGGUGGGGUAGUGGCUUACCAAGGCUUUGACGGGUAGCCGGCCUGAGAGGGUGACCGGCCACAUUGGGACUGAGGUACGGCCCAGACUCCUACGCGAGGCAGCAGUGGGGAAUAUUGCACAAUGGGCGGAAGCCUGAUGCAGAAACGCCGCGUGCGGGAUGACGGCCUUCGGGUUGUAAACCGCUUUCGCCUGUGGCGAAGCGUGAGUGACGGUAAUGGGUAAAGAAGCCCCGGCUAACUACGUG
rnacentral:rRNA from 1 species